rnacentral:misc_RNA from 1 species
GAAAUGCGAUAAUUAAUGUGAAUUGCAGAAUUCAGUGAAUCAUCGAGUCUUUGAACGCACAUUGCGCCCCCUGGUAUUCCGGGGGGCAUGCCUGUCCGAGCGUCAUUGCUGCCCUCAAGCACGGCUUGUGUGUUGGGCUUCCGUCCCUGGCAACGGGGACGGGUCCAAAAGACAGUGGCGGCACCAUGUCUGGUCCUCGAGCGUAUGGGGCUUUGUCACCCGCUCCCGUAGGUCCAGCUGGCAGCUAGCCUCGCAACCAAUCUUUUUAACCAGGUUGACCUCGGAUCAGGUAGGGAUACCCGCUGAACUUAAGC